GUGUAGGAAGAUGCUGAGUCUUUCAUUUCAGUGCAUGUGUUUACUGAGACAUUGCCAGUGGGACGGCAGAGGCAAGACUGUAGCAUCAAUAUGCUUCACUGGCUUCAGAUAUGGGCCAUGAGGAAGAGAUACAAGAAGGGUCUGAGAAGAAGUGUAAUUUGGAUACAGGUACAAAGAGAACAAAAUGAAAUCCUUUGAAGCUGGUAGUUCUCAUGCUUAAAUCCAGCCCAAGAGUGCUAUUUUCAGGAAACUUUCAUGAAAAUGGAGUGACUCUAAUUUGAGGCAUGUCACUAUUAAAAAUGUAUACGUUUCUAUUUUUAAAGUAUUCUCCCACUCAUACAGUAACUUGUUUUUAUUAGUCAGCUCAAAAGCAACUUCAGACUUAUCAUGCAUUAGUACUUGUCAUGCACUUAGGGGAAAAUCCUGCUCUAUGAAGAAUCCUUAGCAGCAGAACUAGUGUGGUUCUGCUGCACAAGGAAAGGCGUAACUUUUAUGCCAUGGAGCAACAAUCAGUGGUGGGUACCUACAUACUAGCAGACAGAUGGGGACGGUCCAGUCAUUGGCAGGAGGAGAGAUGGGUCCUAUGUUACUCUUCUCCUUGCAAGACCAUGUAAAGGUCAGUAAAGAUCACACCAGCCAAUUGACUGAAGAAGUCCACACACAGUGAUUCCUUAGACACUCUCUGGCCUAGGGAGAGAAUCUCUCUCCCCUGUGCUUCUGUUCAGGUGGGUGCACACUCAGAUUUUAUAGCCAAAUCAUUGUUGGUGAAUUUUGAAACAUUGGAUUUUGUGUUUAAAUUCUCAACUAUAAUACUGAGGUAACAACAAAGAGCAACUGGGGAAAUACAUUUUUAUCCCUAACUUUGUACAAGCAGUGUUUGUUUGUUUGUUUUUUAUUUGUUUACUAUUUUUGCAGUUGAACUUGCCUCAAAGUUAUUUAGAUUUAUUUGUUUCCAGGGAGUCUAGAAGAAGGGAUGUAAUAUUCUUCAAUUUUUUUUUAUUUAGUUGGGGAUUGGUCCUGCUUUGAGCUGGGGUUGGACUAGAUGACCUCCUGAGGUCCCUUCCAACCCUGACAUUCUAUGAUUCUAUGAUUUUAUUAUAUGAAUGCAAGACUCUCCCUAAUAGAUGCUAAAGGGAGAAGUCAUGUUGCUUAGGUCAUUCUCUGAUGUAAAAUAUCACCUCUGUCAGUAGUAGAGUCAUUAAUGGGUUUAAUGUAGAACAUGCACAUUGAUUGACAUUGCUGUAAUGUUGUUUUCUGGCCUAUUGCUAUCCAGUGAUGAAAUUAUUGUGGCGGGGGGAGGACUAAAAUAUGGCAUCCUUCUUUAAUGCAGAGUGCCACCGUCUUUGGUCAUAUUUUUAGGGAUAUUCAUUUCUGCAUGAGAUGCUUUGGAGUAACCUCAAAAUAUGGAAUGAUACUGCAGGUUUGACUUGGCAUUUCUUGUGAACUUGCCAUUUUUCUGAAAGUAAAUCUGAACAUUCUAAAAUGUACAGGCUUGGUAGAUUUGCGAUUUUAAAAGGAACAGCAAACAGUUGAGAGAAUAUACUACUCAAGUUGAUGAAACAGGCUCAAAAGUAAUAAAUCUUGUAAAGACGUUGCAGCAGGUGUACUUCAGAUAAGUAGUAGCUUAAAGUCUUUAAAGGUCAUUUGCAAUUCAAUUAGAAACCUAUAUCUGUAUUCCAUGUACCUUAAAAGGGAGUAUGCAACGAGCAGAAAAAUAAAUUAUUUAAAUCUGCUAAAUUUGGUCCUCAUACUACCAUCUGAGCCAAAACAUAUGAAAUCAGUGCCUAUGGGAUUCAGGAUGUUCUGUUAUUGACCAUUAUUUGCUUAUUUCAAAUGGACACUAAGUAUUCCAUAUUUAAAAUGUAAAUUAUUACCAACAAUAGUAUUUUAUGGCAGAAAAGAAUCCUAUACAGCAGGCAAGGGAUUUGAAUUUCUAAUAAGAAAAUGUCCAGAGUGAUAUUUUGUCAUUCUUUUGAGAAUUUAAAGCUUUAAAGCUUGUGUCUUCUACAAACAGAAUUUGGUCCAAUAAAAGAUAUUACCUCACCCACCUUAUCUCUAAGUUGAACAUAGAUGAUUCCCCAAAAUAUCACACUCCUCUGCCAUCACAAGUGUCAAGAAGUCAAUGGAAUUGCAGCUGGUAAAUAUUUAGAUACCACGGACUUUAUCUGGCCCUGCUGAGCUGUGCUCAUUGAAGGAUCAGGCAAAGGUUGAUUUUGAAGCCAGACAAGAACUAUCCCAGUUCCCAGCAUAAGUCAGAGCAGCCCUCAAACUGUUUGUUCUUGCACCUGGUUAUCAAAGGCCACUAAGGGCUAUUACAACAGCUACGUAUAGGAGGAGAGCAGGACAUACUCUCUUGCCCUGGGAAUGCGCCCUUUGCCUGGACCUGAGACAGGAACUAGGAGAGAGCUGUUGUAUUGGCUCUGCAUCACAUUCCCUUUAUGUAAAGGGAAUCCCUAGGUGCCAGCUAAGCCAGAUUUCUAGCUGCUUUGUGCUGAUGUAGUGGGGCUCAGAAUCUGGCCCUGCAUUUUUGAUUACAAGAUUUACAAAAAAUGAAAGUUUUGAAUCCCUUGAAAGUCUCACACAUGUACAUUACACAGACAACCCAAUGAUCAUGACACAGACAUAAAUGCAUGCCAUAUUUCAAUUUAUUUUGGUGAUUUUGUUUCAUUAGGUUUUAAUUGAAUUAAUACUUCAGCUAACACUUGAAAACUGAAAUUCCUAAUUUUAUAGGAAGCCAUCUCACAGUGAAGAAGUCUAAAGCUAUCAACUAAUUAUAAGAGAGUUUGAAUGUCAGGCAUUAUGUUAAUGAAAUGAAUAACCUCUUUAACCUGCUCUUUUAGCGUGAUGUUG